GCGGCAGAUCACUGCCGACGAUGCCGAUUCCGAUGACAUCAAGCGCCAUAGAUCAAAACCCUCCGUCGCAAGCGCGCCACCUGUUCCGAAGAGAAAUAGUACCGGGAGCUUCCACAAGGCUAAAUGUGGCGGGGAUAACAAAUUAGAAGCCGGCGGACAUCAUAGGAAAUCAAACAGCGUAUCCACUUACACUGGAGUAGGAGGCAAAAUUUCGGGCCGGAAUAUGCCGAGGUCGUCGACUGUUAUGGAGGAAGAGAGUUUCGUUGGCAACGCAAUGGGCGGUGGCGGGAGGACAUCGCGAAGGCAGGACGUGGAGGAAGAAAGUUUCGUGGCCGGAAUCGAAUGGAGGAAGGACGGCGGCGGUGUGGGGCCAC
rnacentral:lncRNA from 1 species